AUUGAACGCUGGCGGCAUGCCUUACACAUGCAAGUCGAACGGUAACGGGCCUUCGGGUGCCGACGAGUGGCGAACGGGUGAGUAAUACAUCGGAACGUGCCCGAUCGUGGGGGAUAACGAGGCGAAAGCUUUGCUAAUACCGCAUACGAUCUACGGAUGACAUCAGGGGACCGCAAGGCCUUGCGCGGACGGAGCGGCCGAUGGCAGAUUAGGUAGUUGGUGGGAUAAAAGCUUACCAAGCCGACGAUCUGUAGCUGGUCUGAGAGGAUGAUCAGCCACACUGGGACUGAGACACGGCCAAGACUCCUACGGGAGGCAGCAGUGGGGAAUUUUGGACAAUGGGCGCAAGCCUGAUCCAGCCAUGCAGCGUGCAGGAUGAAGGCCUUCGGGUUGUAAACUGCUUUUGUACGGAACGAAAAGCCUUCUUUUAAUACAGGAGGGUCAUGACGGUACCGUAAGAAUAAGCACCGGCUAACUACGUG
rnacentral:rRNA from 1 species